rnacentral:snRNA from 1 species
AUACUUACGUGGCAGGGGGUUACCAUGAUCACGAAGGUGAUUUUCCAUUGGUAAGGCUGAUCCAUAAUACUCCAGAUGUACUGACCCCUGUGAUUUCCUCAAAUGCAAGGAGCUCUGCUGCAUAAUUUGUUAUUAGAGAUUGCAUGUGCACUCUCCCC